rnacentral:ncRNA from 2 species
GAUCCAUCGAGACCGGCUGAGGGAAAGGCCCUUGGAAGCCGGGGCAACCGACGGGAAACCGCACGGUGCCAACUCCUACGGAGGCGCGCAGCGCCAUGCCGAGAGAUGGGUA